rnacentral:rRNA from 1 species
GUAGGGUGCGAGCGUUAAUCGGAAUUACUGGGCGUAAAGCGUGCGCAGGCGGUUCGCUGUGUCCUGUGUGAAAGCCCCGGGCUCAACCUUGGAAUGGCAUGGGAAACUGGCGGGCUGGAGUGUGGCAGAGGGGGGUGGAAUUCCGCGUGUAGCAGUGAAAUGCGUAGAGAUGCGGAGGAACACCGAUGGCGAAGGCAGCCCCCUGGGCCAACACUGACGCUCAGGCACGAAAGCGUGGGGAGCAAACAGGAUUAGAUACCCUGGUAGUCCACGCCCUAAACGAUGUCGACUGGGUGUUGGGGAAGCGAUUCCUUGGUACCGAAGCUAACGCGUGAAGUCGACCGCCUGGGGAGUACGGCCGCAAGGUUA